UACGGCGGUGAUGGCGGGAGGGAAACACCCGGUCCCAUUCCGAACCCGGUCGUUAAGCCUCCCAGCGCCGAUGGUACUGCCCCCUGGUUGGGGUGGGAGAGUAGGUCGCCGCCGGGC
rfam:Marinactinospora thermotolerans DSM 45154 genome assembly, contig: G546DRAFT_scaffold00008.8